rnacentral:rRNA from 1 species
UACGGAGGAUGCGAGCGUUAUCCGGAUUCAUUGGGUUUAAAGGGUGCUUAGGCGGACUAAUAAGUCAGUGGUGAAAUUUUGCAGCUUAACUGUAAACGUGCCGUUGAUACUGUUAGUCUUGAGUAUGGUCAAGGUAGGCGGAAUGUGUAAUGUAGCGGUGAAAUUCUUAGAUAUUACACAGAACACCGAUUGCGAAGGCAGCUUACUGGGCCACCACUGACGAUGAUGCACGAAAGCGUGGGGAGCGAACAGG